GGCCAGACUCCUACGGGAGGCAGCAGUGAGGAAUAUUGGUCAAUGGGCGGGAGCCUGAACCAGCCAUGCCGCGUGAAGGCGAGUGCCCUACGGGCGUUAAACUUCUUUUGUGCGGGAGCAAUAAGGGCCACGCGUGGCCCGAUGAGAGUACCGCACGAAUAAGCAUCGGCUAACUCCGUGCCAGCAGCCGCGGUAAUACGGGGGAUGCGAGCGUUAUCCGGAUUUAUUGGGUUUAAAGGGUGCGUAGGCGGCGCUUCAGGUCAGCGGUGAAAUACCGGGGCUCAACCCCGGGGCUGCCGUUGAAACCGGAGCGCUAGAAUUCCGAUGCCGUCGGAGGAAUGUGUGGUGUAGCGGUGAAAUGCAUAGAUAUCACACAGAACACCGAUUGCGAAGGCAUCUCACGAAUCCGCGAUUGACGCUGAUGCACGAAAGCGUGGGUAUCAAACAGGAUUAGAUACCCCAGUA
rnacentral:rRNA from 1 species